rnacentral:rRNA from 1 species
UGGGGAAUUUUGGACAAUGGGCGAAAGCCUGAUCCAGCCAUUCCGCGUGCAGGAUGAAGGCCCUCGGGUUGUAAACUGAUUUUGUACAGAACGAAAAAGCUCUGGCUAAUACCGGAGUCCAUGACGUACUA